rnacentral:antisense_RNA from 1 species
AGUUAUGGCGGGCCGUGCGUGGGAGGCCUUCGGGCCUGCCGGUUUCCUUUGGGCCGGUCUGUCAACCCGCGUACGGUCCGCCCCCUCU